GGAGCUUGCUUUAUAUAACUUAGCAGCGAACGGGUGAGUAACACGUAGAUAAUCUAUCCUAUACUGGGGGAUAGCCCGAUGAAAGUUGGAUUAAUACCGCAUAUAGCUAUAUAGUUGCAUGAUUAUGUAGUGAAAGAUUUAUUGGUAUAGGAGGAGUCUGCGGCACAUUAGCUAGUAGGUGAGGUAAAGGCUUACCUAGGCGACGAUGUGUAGCCGGUCUGAGAGGAUGAACGGCCACAAUGGAACUGAGACACGGUCCAUACUCCUACGGGAGGCAGCAGUGGGGAAUAUUGCACAAUGGGGGAAACCCUGAUGCAGCAACGCCGCGUGAGUGAAGAAGGUUUUCGGAUUGUAAAGCUCUGUUAGCAGGGAAGAGGAAGGACGGUACCUGCAGAGGAAGCCACGGCUAACUACGUGCCAGCAGCCGCGGUAAUACGUAGGUGGCAAGCGUUGUUCGGAAUAACUGGGCGUAAAGGAUGCGUAGGCGGUUAAACAAGUUAUAUGUUAAAUAUAUAGGCUUAACCUGUAGAAAGCAUAUAAAACUGUUUAACUAGAGUGCAGGAGAGGUAAGUGGAAUUCCUAGUGUAGCGGUGAAAUGCGUAGAGAUUAGGAAGAACACCAGUGGCGAAGGCGACUUACUGGACUGUAACUGACGCUGAGGCAUGAGAGCAUGGGGAGCAAACAGGAUUAGAUACCCUGGUAGUCCAUGCUGUAAACGAUGGGUACU
rnacentral:rRNA from 1 species